GUCGAGCGUGAAAGCCCCUUCGGGGGUGAGUAGAGCGGCGGACGGGUGAGUAACACGUAGUCAAGCUACCCUCGAGACCGGGAUAACCACGGGAAACCGUGGCUAAUACCGGAUGGCCCUGCGGGAUCGCAUGUUCCUGCAGGUAAAUGGUGGGGAUCCUUCGGGACCCGCUGCUCGGGGAUGUGACUGCGGCCUAUCAGUUUGUUGGUGGGGUAACGGCCUACCAAGGCGAUGACGGGUAGCAGGCCUGAGAGGGUGGUCUGUCACACUGGGACUGAGACACUGCCCAGACUCCUACGGGAGGCUGCAGUCGAGAAUCUUCCGCAAUGGGCGAAAGCCUGACGGAGCGACGCCGCGUGGAGGACGAAGGCCCUAGGGUUGUAAACUCCUGUCACGGGUCAUGAAUGUGUAUGUGUUAAUAGCAUGUGCAUUGACGUAAGCCCGAGAGGAAGCACCGGCUAACUCCGUGCCAGCAGCCGCGGCAAUACGGAGGGUGCGAACGUUGUUCGGAAUUACUGGGCAUAAAGAGCUCGUAGGCGGCUGUGCAAGUGUGGAGUGAAAUCCCACGGCUUACCCGUGGAACUGCUCUGCAGACUGCACGG
rnacentral:rRNA from 1 species